rnacentral:rRNA from 1 species
AUACGUAGGGUGCGAGCGUUGUCCGGAAUUACUGGGCGUAAAGAGCUCGUAGGUGGUUUGUCGCGUCGUCUGUGAAAUUCAGGGGCUUAACUCCGGGCGUGCAGGCGAUACGGGCAUAACUUGAGUACUGUAGGGGAGACUGGAAUUCCUGGUGUAGCGGUGAAAUGCGCAGAUAUCAGGAGGAACACCGGUGGCGAAGGCGGGUCUCUGGGCAGUAACUGACGCUGAGGAGCGAAAGCAUGGGUAGCGAACAGGAUUAGAUACCCUGGUAGUCCAUGCCGUAAACGGUGGGCGCUAGGUGUAGGGGUCUUCCACGACUUCUGUGCCGUAGCUAACGCAUUAAGCGCCCCGCCUGGGGAGUACGGCCGCAAGGCUAAAACUCAAAGGAAUUGACGGG